GUUCCCCAGGACCACAAGGCAGUACUGGUCCAACGGGUAUUCGAGGCCAGCCGGGAGACCCAGGUGUCCCAGGUUUCAAGGGAGAAGCAGGACCUAAAGGUGAACCUGGCCCACAAGGUGCUCAGGGUCCCAUUGGCCCUAUAGGUGAAGAAGGGAAAAGAGGUCCUCGAGGUGAUCCAGGGUCAGUAGGUCCACCAGGUCCUGUUGGAGAGAGGGGUGCUCCUGGUAACCGUGGUUUUCCAGGUUCUGAUGGCUUGCCUGGACCAAAGG